CGGGGGGAGCAAGCGUUGUUCGGAUUUACUGGGCGUAAAGGGCGCGUAGGCGGCCACCGCAAGUCGACUGUGAAAUCUCCGGGCUUAACCCGGAAAGGUCAGCCGAUACUGCGGGGCUAGAGUGCAGAAGGGGCAACUGGAAUUCUCGGUGUAGCGGUGAAAAUGCGUAGAUAUCGAGAGGAACACCUGCGGCGAAGGCGGGUUGCUGGGCUGACACUGACGCUGAGGCGCGAAAGCUAGGGGAGCGAACGGGAUUAGAUACCCCGGUAGUCCUAGCCUUAAACGAUGAAUGCUUGGUGUCUGGGGUUUUAUAGUCCCCGGGUGCCGUCGCUAACGCUUUAAGCAUUCCGCCUGGGGAGUACGGUCGCAAGACUG
rnacentral:rRNA from 1 species